GAAUUGCGAUAAGUAAUGUGAAUUGCAGAUUUUCAGUGAAUCAUCGAAUCUUUGAACGCACCUUGCGCUCCUUGGUAUUCCGAGGAGCAUGCCUGUUUGAGUGUCAUGGAAUUCUCAACCAUGUCUUGAUUGACUUCGAGGCAUGGCUUGGAUGGUGGGGGUUGCUGGCUGCGAAAGUGGUCGGCUCUCCUGAAAUGCAUUAGCGAUGGACAGCAAGUCUGAUGUGCACGGCCUUGACGUGAUAAUGAUCGUCAUCGCUGGAGUGUCGGACGAGCACGAGAACGUCCCCUUUGCUUCCAACACCUUUGACUUGGGACUUGAACUUUCGAGCGAAGCUUCAGCUACUAGUCGGUCGUGAGGCUGACGAACGCAAGGCCGGACUUGGAGGUCACACGGGUCUCUUGUCUUUCUUGACGACUUGACCUCAAAUCAGGUAGGACUACCCGCUGAACUUAA
rnacentral:rRNA from 1 species